CAGCAUUGCAAAUGAAUGACUGAAUGAAUGACUAAACAUUUUUAAAUUUUUAAAAAAUUUAUCCCUAUUAUUGUAUUUCAAAUAUCUUAAUGUGUUAUGCUGUGAUACUUCUAAAAAAUAGAAAAAUAAAAAACUAUGGUCAGCAGCUCUGGCAUGUUACUUUCCAACCCAAUAUCCUUAUCCUCUAACUUCCUUUUUUGUCUCCAAAUGAGGAAGUCUGGUAAUCUGUUGGGACUGUAAUCCUGUCAACACUCACCAAUCUAAAGGAUCAGCUUUCAGCAAUGAAAUGACCUUGAGUGAAUUUCAGAGAGAUUAGCCAGGAGAGAGGAUUAAACACACUAUGUGAAUGCAGGGCCUGGAACAGAAUGGAGAGCGUGCAAGGGGACAUUGAUUCCUGGCAUCCCAUGGCUGCCCGGUGCGCAAGAUGUGACAAGCCAGACCCCAUAUGCUUACCUUACACCUUGGUGCGGAUAACGGAGGCAGAGAUGAGAGCGUAUCACCGUCUUCUAGGAAGCUGCGUCAGGCUAGAAUGUAGGGCACAAGAAGCACUUCCGGUGCUCAGAUCCUCCCUGUCCUCUGAAGCAGUGUGUGUCCAUGAUGUCAGCGGUGGCACAGCCCACAGACCUUCAUAACAUUUGGAUGCAGUCAUCUUUUCUUUUGAGGACAUAGACCAAGAGAUGUGGAGUUCCUCCUUGGGCCUGAGCAGUAUAAGAGGGUGGAUAUGCAGGACUACUGUGUCCCCUGCCAGCGCUGAGCUCUGGAUCAUGACAGAAGCACCUAUGUGGUCUUCCAUACAAAUGUUUAUAGGGGGAGAUUGUGCUGUGUGGAGCCCUCCAUAGGGCAGGGCCUGGGACAGGGAACACGAGGAAACUUUCUGGGAGGAUGAAAAUUUUCUGUAUCAUGAUUUGCAAUGAGGUUACAUCAGUGUAUAUAUUUGUCAAAAUUCAUCAAGCUGUACACCUAAGAUUUGUGCAUUUUAUUGCAUGUAAAUUAUUCUUCAAUAAAUAUACUAGUGCAAAAAAUA